ACGGAUGGCGCUGACGUGCGGUGCUUAAUGAGAAGUCGCCCGUGUUUUUUUCGCUGUAUUUGUGACGAAACAUUCGCGGUGCACUUCUUUUUCAGUAUCCUACUCUGCCUCGGCGACGU
rnacentral:pre_miRNA from 14 species